AUUUUUUUUUAUUGCUCAAUACUGUUCCACUGUAUCAAUAUAACACAGGUCAUUUAUUCAGUUCUCUUGUUAAGUGACAUUUGGGUUGUCUCCAGUUUGGGGCUCUUUUGAAUAAAGCGGCUGUGAGGUUCAUGUAUGCCUUUUGUGUGGACAGAUAUUUUCACUGGUCUCAGGCAAAUGGCUAGGAGAAUUACUAGAUCAUAUGGGAAGUGUAUAUUUAACUUUAUAAGAAACUGCCAAACUUUUCCAAUGUAAUUGUGCCAUUUUACACUCCCACCCGCAGCUUAAGAGAGCUCCAGUUGCUCCAUGUCCUCACCAACACUUUGUAUCAUCAAUCUUGUUAAUUUUAUCCAUUCUAGUCUGUGUGUAGUGGUGUCUUAUUAUGGUUUUAAUUUGUACUCCCCUGCUGACUAAAGAGAUUGAGCAUCUUUUCAUCAUUCUUAUUUGCCAUUUUUAUGUCUUUUUCUGUAAAGUAUUUGUUCGAUUAUUUUACUGGGUGUGAUGGUUAAUACCGAGUGUCAACUUGACUGGAUUGAAGGAUGCAAAGUCUUAUUCCUGGGUGUGUCUCUGAGGUUGUUGACAAAGGAGAUUGACAUUUGAGUCAGUGGACUGGGAGAGACAGACCCACCUUCAAUCUGGGAGCGCACCAUCUAAUUGGCUGCCAGUGCGGCUAGGAUAAAGCAGGCAGAAGGUGGAAGGAGCGGAGCCUACCUGCUGAGUCUUCCGGCCUUCAUCUUUCUCCCGUGCUGGAUGCUUCCUGCCCUUGAACAUUGGACUCCAAGUUUUCAGCUUUUGGACUCUUGGAUUUACCCCAGUGAUUUGCCAGGGGCUCUUGGGCCUUCAGCCACAACCUGAAGGCUGCACUGUGGGCUUCCCUACUUUUGAGGUUUUGGGGCUCGGACUGGCUUCGUUGCUUCUCAGCUUAUAGGUGGCCUAUUGUGGGGCUUCACCUUGUGAUCGUGUGAGUCAAUACUCCUUAGUAAACUCCCCUUUGUAUGUACAUCUAUCCUAUUAGUUCUGUCCCUCUAGAGAAUCCUGAAAAUACAGAUUUUGUUAUUUUGAACCGAGAAUGAGGUAGUUCUAGAGAAACAGAUUUUUUUUUUUUUUGAGAUGGAGUUUUGCUCUUGUUACCCAGGCUGGAGUGCAAUGGCACGAUCUCGGCUCACCGCAACCUCUGCCUCCUGGGUUCAGGCAAUUCUUCCUGCCUCAGCCUCCUGAGUAGCUGGGAUUACAGGCACGCGCCACCAUGCCCAGCUAAUUUUUUGUAUUUUUAGUAGAGACAGGGUUUCACCAUGUUGCCCAGGAUGGUCUCGAUCUCUUGACCUUGUGAUCCACCCACCUCGGUCUCCCAAAGUGCUGGGAUUACAGGCUUGAGCCACCUAGCCUGGCCUUUUUUUUUUUUUUUUUAAAUUUAAAAUGGAGUUUUGCUCUUGCUCACUGCAACCUCCACCUCCCAGGUUCAGGAAAUUCUGCCUUGGCCUCCCGAGUAGCUGGGAUUACAGGCAUAUGACACCAUGCCCGGCUAACUUUAGUAUUUUUAGUAGAGACAGGGUUUCAUUCUUUUUAUUUUUUUAUUUGAGACUGAGUCUCCCUCUGUCACCAGGCUGGAGUGCAGUGGCACAAUCUUGGCUCACUGCAGUCUCCACCUCCCAGGUUCAAGGGAUUCUUCUGCCUCAGCCUCCCAGGUAGCGGGGACUACAGGCAUGUGCCACCAUGCCCGGCUAAUUUUUUUAUUUUAGUAGAGAUGGGGUUUCACCAUGUUGGCUGGGCUGGUCUCGAUCUCUUGACCUCAUGAUCCAUGCACCUUGGCCUCCCAAAGUGCAGGGAUUACAGGCAUGAACCACCGCACCUAACCAAAACAGUGUUUCUCCGUGUUGGUCAGACUGGUCUUGAAUUCCUGACCUCAGGUGAUCAGCCCACCUUGGCCUCCCAAAAUGCUGGGAGUACAAGCGUGAGCCACUGUGCUUCUAAUAGUAUGGAGAACACUGAUAGUCCUUGGCAUGAACUGUUUAGAGAGUUAUGCAAAAUAAAUGCUUUUUAUACUCCUGAUUUACCACUCAUGAGAGACAAGGAGUUUAGUGACUCUCUACCUAAUACCUUUGACCAAAGAAUAUAAUAAAGUUGGUUGAUUGCUUCUAAGUUUGCUGAACAAAGUGACGAAAGAGAAGGAUGAGUGCAGCAAUUCUAACUCCUGUCCAGAAGCACAUAUUGAGCCUCAAGUCUUCUAAAAUUGCCCUGAGAGUCUUAUCUCCUAUAGACGAAGGGCUGAAAUUGUGGAAAACCAGACACAGGCUCUUAUCAUGAGAGUGGCUGACCUGCAAGGAAAGGUAUGUACACAGCCUUGCCAGGUGUUUACUGUUAAAGUGAGGGAAAGGAAUGGGACCCUGAAACUGAAUGGGGACAUGUUGGAGGACCCUGAUGAAGCUGGGAACACUGAGCUUGCAAACUCUGAUGAGCCUUUUUUGCCAGAGGAAACAGCCUCCCACCCUCAGUGGUGGCAACAUUCCUUCCCCACCCAUGCUGCCUUCAGGCUUUGUCUGAGGAAAUUAACCCUGCACUGCCUGAGGCAACAGUGACGGCCUCCACUGAGCCAGUUGCCAGGCAAGACAAUGCUGAUUCUCCUCAGGAGCCACCCCCAACACUCCUGUUUGCUUCUAGAUCUAUAACUAGACUCAAGUCCCGGCAGGCCCCCAGAGGUGAGGUUCAGAGUGUGACCCCUAAGGGGGUGUGCUAUGCUCCAAAAGAACUGUAUGAGUUUUCUAACUUAUAUAAGCAAAAAUCUGGAGAAUAGGGAUGGGAAUGGAUGUUAAGGGUGUGGGAUAAUGGUGGAAGAACCAUAAAAUUGGAUCAGGCUGAAUUAAUGAUUUGAACCCACUAAGCAAGGAUCCUGCAUUUAAUGUUGCAGCUUGGGGAGCUAAAAAAUGUUCUGUGAUUUGCUUGUUAGCUGAAAUAUGGAUCAAAAGAUGGCCCACUGUGAGUGGUCUGGAAAUGCCUCAUCUCUCUUGGUUAAAUGUGGAGGAAGGGAUCCAAAGGCUUAGGGAGACUGGGAUGGUGGAGUGGAUUAGUCACUUUAGACCAGCUUAUCCCCACUGGAGGGUCCAGAAGACAUACCCUUCACCAGUACUUAGUGAAAUAGAUUUGAGAGGGGAGCACCUGAAUCCUUGAAGAGCUCUGUGAUUGCUCUUCUCUGUAUCCAGAUCUUAAAGUGGGAAUUGCAGUCACUCAAUUAGAAAAUUUAAACACAAUGGGAAUAAUUGGAUCCUGAGGUGUCUCAACUGUCAGGAGCUAGGUCGGUAGCUACCAUAAUGGACGGCAGAGGCAAAGCAGCAAUCAGAAUAGUCUGAUUUGUGUAGAGCUCUGGCAUUGGCUAAUCAGUGUUCCUAGAAGAGAAGUUGAUAGGAAGCCUACUGUAUUCUUACUUAAUUUGGAUAAGCAGAAAAGUCCCAGGUCAAGUGGACAAAAGACUAAUUUGAAUUGUAAGAACAGACAAUCACGGCCCCUCAAUCAAUUUCCAGACUUGAACCAGUUUAUAGACCCAGAACCCUGUGAAUGAAGGGGACCCCAAGUCCCUUGAGGAAGAACCCCACUACACUACCAACAAUUUAUACUGUUAAUCUUUGUUCCAUCUGUUCCCAGACAGACCUCUUUUUACCAGGGUAACUGUGCACUGGGGAAAGGGGAAUUAUCAGACUUAUGGGGGACUACUAGACACUAGUUCUGAGCCGAUGUUGAUUUCUGGAGAUCCAAAAUGUCAUUGUGGUCCUUCAAUUAAAGUAGGGGCUUAUGGAGAUCAGGUAAUUAAUGGAGUUUUAGCUCAGGUCUGACUUUCAGUGGGUCCAGUGGGUCCCUGGACUCAUCCUGUGGUCAUUUCCCCAGUGCCAGAUUGCAUGAUUGGCAGAGACAUACUUAGCAGCUGGCAGAACCCCACAUUAGCUCCCUGACUGGUAGGGUAAGGGCUACUAUGGUGGGAAAGGCCAAAUGGAAGCCAUUUGCACUGCCUCUACCUAGAAAAAUCGUAACUCAAAAACAAUACCACGUCGCUGGAGGGACUGCAGAGAUUAGUGCCACCAUCAAGGGCUUGAAAGAUGCAGGGGUGAUGAUUCCCACCACAUCCCCAUUUGGCCUGCGCAGAAGACAGAUGGAUGUUGGAGAAUGACAAUGAAUUAUCCUAAGCGUAACCAAGUGGCAACUCCAGUUGCAGCUGCUGUACCAGAUGUGGUUUUAUUGCUUGAACGAAUUAACACCUCCUGGUACCUGGUGUGCAGCCACUGACUUGGCAAAUGCCUUUGUCUCCAUUCUUGCCCGUAAGGCUUACCUGAAGCAAUUUGCCUUCAGCUGGCAAGGCCAGCAAUAUACCUUCACUGUCCCACCUCAGGGGUAUAUCACCUCUCUGGCUUUGUAUUAUAAUCUUUUUCGCAGAGAUCUUGAUCAUUUUUCCCUUCCACAAGAUAUCACACUGGUCUAUUACGUGAUGACUUUAUACUGAUUGGAUCCAGUGAGUGAGAAGUAGCAAAUGCCCUCAUCUUAUUGGUGAGACAUUUGCCUGCCAAGGGAUGGGAAAUAAAUCCCACUAAAAUUCAGGAAGCUUCUACCUUGGUAAAAUUUCUAGAAGUCCAGUGGUGUGAGGCCUGUCGAGAUAUUCCUUCUAAGGUGAAGGAUAAGUUACUGCACUUGGCCUCUCCUGCGACCAAGAAUGAUGCCUAGUGGGCCUAUCUGGAUUUUGGAGGCAACACAUUCCUCAUUUGGGUGUGCUAUUCUGGCCAUUGAGUGACCCGAAAGGCUGCCAGUUUCAAGUGGGGUCCAGAACAGGAUAAGGCUCUGCAGCAGGUCCAGGCUGCUGUGCAAGCUGCUCGGCCACUUGGGCCAUGUGACCCAGCAGACCCAGUGGUGCCUGAGGUGUCAGGGGCAGGCCCCAUAGGUGAAUCACAAUGGAGGCCUCUAGGAUUUUGGAGCAAGGUCCUGAUAUGUUCUGCAGAUAACUAAUCUUUUGAGAGACAGCUCUUGGCCUCUUACUGGGCUUUGGUAAAAACUGAACAUUUUAUGAUGGGUCAUCAGGUCACCAUGCGACCUGAACUGCCUGCCAUGAACUGGGUGCUUUCUGACUUACCUAGUCAUUAAGUUGGGCAUGCACAGCAGCAUUCCAUCAUCAAAUGGAAGUGAUAUAUAUAUGAUGGGGCUGAGCAGGUCCUGAAGGCACAAGUAAUUUACAUGAAGUGGCUCAAAUGCCCGUGGGUCUCCACUCCUGCCAUCCUGCCGACUCUCCUGCUGCCUGCACUGAUGGCAUCAUGAAGAGUUUCCUAUGAUCAGUUGACAGAGGAAGAGAAGACUAGGGCCUGAUUUACGGAUGGUUCUGCAAGAUACGCGGGCACCGCCCGAAAGUGGACAGCUGCGGCACCGCCCGACAGUGGACAGCUGCGGCACCGCCCGACAGUGGACAGCUGCGGCACCGUCCGAAAGUGGACAGCUGCGGCGCCGCCCGAAAGUGGACAGCUGCGGCGCCGCCCGAAAGUGGACAGCUGCGGCACCACAGCCCCUUUCUAGGACAUCCCUGAAGGACAGCGGUGAAGGGAAAUCUUCCCAGUGGGCAGAACUUCACAUACUAUACCUGGCUGUGUACUUUGCAUGGUAGGAGAAGUGGCCAGAUGUAUGAUUAUGUACUGAUUAACAGACUGUAGCCAGUGGUUUGGCUGGAUGGCCAGGAACUUGGAAGAUGCAUGAUUGGAAAAUGGGUGAUAAAGAAAUCUGGAGAAGAGAUAUAUGGAUGGACCCCUCUGAGUGGUCAAAACUGUGAAGAUAUUUGUAUCCAUGUGAAUCCUCACCAAAGGGUGACCUCAGCAGAGUAGGAGUUUAAUAAUCAAGUAGAUAGGAUGACUCAUUUUGUAGACACCACACAGCCUCUUUCCCAGCCACCCCUGUCAUCGCCCAAUGGACCCAUGAACAACGUGGCCAUGGUGGCAGGGAUUGAGGUUACACAUGGCUUCAGCAAUGUGGACUUCCACUCGCCAAGGCUGACCUGGCUACAGCUACUGCUGAGUGCCCAAUGUGCCAGCAGCAGAGACCAAUGUGGAACUCUGGAUAUGGCACCAUUCCUCAGGGUGAUCAGCCAGCUACUUGAUGGCAGGUUGAAUAUAUUGGACCUCUUCUAUCAUGGAAGGGGAAUGGUUUGUCUUCACAGGAAUAGACACUUAACUCCAGAUAUGGUUUUACCUAUCCUGCAUGCAAUGCUUCUUCCAAAACAACCAUCCGUGGACUGACAGAAUGCCUUAUCCACCAUCAUGGUAUUCCACACAGCAUUGCCUCUGACCCAGGCACUCACUUUACAGCUAAAGUAUGGCAGUGGGUUCGUGCUCAUGGAAUUCACUGGUCUUACCAUGCUCCCCAUCGUCCCAAAGCAGCUGGAUUGAUAGAACGAUGGAAUGACCUUUCAAAGUCACAAUUACGAUGCCAACUAGGUGACAAUACUUUGCAGGGGUCAGGUAAAGUUCUCCAGAAGGCCAUGUAUGCUCUGAAUCAGUAUCCAAUAUAUGUUACUGUUUCCCCCAUAGCCAGGACUCAUGGGUCCAGGAAUUGAGGGGUGGAAGUGGAAGUGGCACCACUCACCAUCACCCCUAGUGACCCACUAGCAAAAAAAAAAACAACAAAAAUUUUUGUUUCCGGUUCCUGCAACAUUGCACUCUACUGGCCUAGAGGUCUUAGUUCCAGAGGGAGGAACGCUGCCACCAGGAGGCACAACAAUGAUUCCACUAAACUGGAAGUUAAGAUUCCCACCUGGACACUUUCAGCUCCUCCUACCUUUAAGUCAACAGGCUAAACAGAGAGUUACACUGUUGGCUGGGGCGACUGACCUAGACUAUGAAGAUGAAAUCAGUCUCCUACUCCACAGUGGAGGUAAGGAAGAGUAAGUGUAAAUACAGGAGAUCCAUGAGGGCAUCUCUUAGUAUUACCAUGCCCUGUGAUGAAGGUCAGUGGGAAACUAUGACAACGCAAUCCAGGCAGGACUGCAAAUGACCCAGACCCUACAGGAAUGAAGGUUUGGGUCACUCCACUAGGUAAAAAAACCCACAACCACUGAAGUGCUUGCUGAAGGCAAAGGGGACACAGUAUGCAUAGUAGAAGGUAGUCGGAAUACUAGCUACAGCCACAUGACUAGUUGCAGAAACAAGGACUGUAAUUGUCAUGAAUAUUCCCUCCUUAUUUGUUAAGAAUAUGUUUGUGCGUGUAUACACUUGUACUAAGAAAAUGUCUUCCUGUUAUUUCCUUGCUUUUUCCUUUAUCACAUGACGUAAGAUUUGUUGACUUCAUAUCACAUUUAAGUGUUGUUAGCUUUAUGUAAUAGCAUUUAGGUUAAGGAUUAACAUGCUUCUGGUUGCACAAAGGAUAGGCAUAUUAUUUUGGGUCUAAUAAUGACUUAUUGUUGUCUUUAUUUGAAGAUUAUGUAUGAUUUCAGCAGAUGUGUAUGGGUUCAAGUUGACAAGGGGUAGACUUGUGUUGGUUAAUACUGAGUGUCAACUUGACUGGAUUGAAGGAUGCGAAGUAUUGUUCCUGGGUGUGUCUCUGAGGUUGUUGACAAAGGAGAUUGACAUUUGAGUCAGUGGACUGGGAGAGGCAGACCCCCCCUCAAUCUGGGAGCGCACCAUCUAAUCGGCUGCCAGUGCGGCUAGGAUAAAGCAGGCAGAAGAAGGUGGAAGGAGCCCACCUGCUGAGUCUUCCGGCCUUCAUCUUUCUCCCGUGAUGGAUGCUUCCUGCCCUCGAACAUUGGACUCCAAGUUUUCAGCUUUUGGACUCUUGGAUUUACCCCAGUGAUUUGCCAGGGGCUCUCUGGCUUCGGCCAAAGGCAAGGCUGCACUGUGGGCUUCCCUACUUUUGAGGUUUUGGAAUUCAGAUUGACUUCGUUGCUCCUAGGCUUGCAGACAGCCUAUUGUGGGGCUUCACCUUGUGAUCAUGAGUCAAUACUCCUUAAUAAACUCCCCUUCAGCUUCUUCUCGGAUAAAACACCAAAUGGCGGGUGACGCCCGUGCAGCGGAGGAGGUGGGGCGGAGAGCGGCCCUUGGAUGGGGAAUCCAAUCCGCUUCCUCAAAGGUUUCGGCAGUGCCGUCUGGGGCCGGGAGGGCCAAGGCCACAGAGCUCACGGAGGCAAGGCCGAGGAUAAGAAGUGGCUGCCUGUCACCAAGCUGGGCCGCCUUGGACAUGAAGAUAAAGUCCCUGGAGGAAAUCUAUCUCUUCUCUCUGCUCAUCAAGGAAUCUGAGAUCAUUGACUUUCUCCCGGGGGCAUCUCUCAGGGACGAGCUUUUGAAGAUUUUGCCGGUGCAGAAGCAGACCCAGGUGGCCAGCGCACCAGGUUCAAGGCAUUUGUUGCCAUUGGGGUCUACAAUGGCCAUGUCUGUCUGGGUGUUAAGUGUGCCAAGGAGGUGGCCACUGCCAUCUGUGGGAACAUCAUCCUGGCCAAGCUCUCCAUUGUCCCCGUGCACAGAGGCUACUGGGGGAACAAGAUCGGCAAGCCCCACACCGUCCUCCCUUGCAAGGUGACAGGCCGCUGUGGCUCUGUUCUAGUGCACCCCAUCCCCGUGCCCAGGGGCACUGGCAUCGUCUCAGCACCUGUGCCCAAGAAGCUGCUCAUGAUGGCUGGUGUCGAUGACUGCUACACCUCAGCCAGGGGCUACACUGCCACCCUGGGCAACUGCACCAAGGCCACCUUUGAUGCCAUCUCUAAGACCUACAGCUACCUGACCCCUGACCUUUGGAAGGAGAUUGUAUUCACAAAGUCUCCCUAUCAGGAAUUCACUGACCACCUCAUCAAGACCCACACCAGAGUCUCUGUGCAGAGGACCCAGACUGCAGCUGUGGCUACAACAUAGGGUUUUUGUUUUUUUUUUUUAAGACGGGGUUUCACCAUGUUGGUCAGGCUGGUCUUGAACUCCCGACCUCAGGUGAUCCGCCCACCUUGGCCUCCAAAGUGCUUGGAUUACAGGCAUGAGCCACAACGCCCGGCCAACACAGGGUUUUUAUACAAGAAAAAUAAAGCGAAUUAACCCUGCAAAAAAUAAAAUAAAGUAAAAUAAACUCCCCUUCAUCGGUACAUCUAUCCUAUUGGUUCUUUUCCUCUAGAGAACCCUGACUAAUAUACUGGGUUAUUUGUCUUCCCGUUAUUAGUUGUGAGAAUUGUUUAUAUAUUCUAGAUACUGAAUAUUUAUAUAUUCAGUCUUUUGUCAUAUUUAUCUAAAGCUUAUUUUCUUUCAAUCUGUGGCUUACAGUUUCAUUUUUAAAACAAUGUCUCUGGAAGAAGAAAUUAAGAUUUUAAUGAAGUGCUAUCUGGCAAUUGU